UACGGGGGGGGCAAGCGUUGUUCGGAAUUACUGGGCGUAAAGGGUUCGUAGGUGGCCAACUAAGUCAGACGUGAAAUCCCUCGGCUUAACCGGGGAACUGCGUCUGAUACUGGAUGGCUUGAGUUUGGGAGAGGGAUGCGGAAUUCCAGGUGUAGCGGUGAAAUGCGUAGAUAUCGGAAAGAACACCUGUGGCGAAAGCGGCUCACUGGACCACAACUGACGCUGAGGCGCGAAAGCUAGGGGAGCAAACAGG
rnacentral:rRNA from 1 species